rnacentral:rRNA from 1 species
UGAGGAAUAUUGGUCAAUGGGCGAGAGCCUGAACCAGCCAAGUCGCGUGAAGGAAGACGGUCCUAUGGAUUGUAAACUUCUUUUAUACAGGAGUAACGGGGGGUAUGUAUACCCUUAUGCAAGUACUGUAUGAAUAAGCAUCGGCUAACUCCGUGCCAGCAGCCGCGGUAAUACGGAGGAUGCGAGCGUUAUCCGGAUUUAUUGGGUUUAAAGGGUGCGUAGGCGGAUUAUUAAGUCAGUGGUGAAAUUUAUCGGCUCAACCGGUAAGCUGCCAUUGAAACUGGUAAUCUUGAGUAUAGAUGAAGUAGGCGGAAUUCGUUGUGUAGCGGUGAAAUGCAUAGAUAUAACGAGGAACUCCGAUUGCGUAGGCAGCUUACUAAGCUACAACUGACGCUGAAGCACGAAAGCGUGGGUAUCGAACA